rnacentral:rRNA from 1 species
GGGGAUGAUCAGCCACACUGGAACUGAGACACGGUCCAGACUCCUACGGGAGGCAGCAGUGGGGAAUAUUGGACAAUGGGCGCAAGCCUGAUCCAGCCAUACCGCGUGGGUGAAGAAGGCCUUCGGGUUGUAAAGCCCUUUUGUUGGGAAAGAAAUCCAGCUGGCUAAUACCCGGUUGGGAUGACGGUACCCAAAGAAUAAGCACCGGCUAACUUCGUGCCAGCAGCCGCGGUAAUACGAAGGGUGCAAGCGUUACUCGGAAUUACUGGGCGUAAAGCGUGCGUAGGUGGUCGUUUAAGUCCGUUGUGAAAGCCCUGGGCUCAACCUGGGAACUGCAGUGGAUACUGGGCGACUAGAAUGUGGUAGAGGGUAGCGGAAUUCCUGGUGUAGCAGUGAAAUGCGUAGAGAUCAGGAGGAACAUCCAUGGCGAAGGCAGCUACCUGGACCAACAUUGACACUGAGGCACGAAAGCGUGGGGAGCAAACAGGAUUAGAUACCCUGGUAGUCCACGCCCUAAACGAUGCGAACUGGAUGUUGGGGUGCAAUUUGGCACGCAGUAUCCGAAGCUUAACGCGUUAAGUUUCGCCGCCUGGGGGAGUACGGUCGCAGACUGAACCUCAAAGGGAAUUGACGGGGCUCCGCUCAAGCGGUGGAGUAUGUCGUUUAAUUCGAAUGCCAACGCCGAAAAACCUUACCUGGGCCUUGACAUGUCGAGAACCUUCAAAGAUGGAUUCGUGSWCUCUCGGAACCUCGAACACCAGUGGCUGCAAUGGCUUGUCCCUCCAGCCUCCGGUGUGUCCUGGAAUUGUUGGGGUAAGUCCGACCGAGCGCAAACCAUGACCU